rnacentral:rRNA from 1 species
AUUGAACGCUGGCGGCAGGCCUAACACAUGCAAGUCGAACGGUAACAGGAAGCAGCUUGCUGCUUCGCUGACGAGUGGCGGACGGGUGAGUAAUGUCUGGGAAACUGCCUGAUGGAGGGGGAUAACUACUGGAAACGGUAGCUAAUACCGCGUAGGCUCUUCUUCCGCCUGGAAGAAGAAGGAAAGACGGCCUUUGUGCUGUCGCUUGAGGAUGGACCCGCGGCGUAUUAGCUAGUUGGUGGGGUAACUGCCCACCAAGGCAAUGAUACGUAGCCGACCUGAGAGGGUGAUCGGCCACAUUGGGACUGAGACACGGCCCAA